rnacentral:rRNA from 1 species
AGCGAACGCUGGCGGCAGGCCUAACACAUGCAAGUCGAACGGACCCUUCGGGGGCUAGUGGCGGACGGGUGAGUAACACGUGGGAACGUGCCUUUAGGUUCGGAAUAGCUCCUGGAAACGGGUGGUAAUGCCGAAUGUGCCCUUCGGGGGAAAGAUUUAUCGCCUUUAGAGCGGCCCGCGUCUGAUUAGCUAGUUGGUGAGGUAACGGCUCACCAAGGCGACGAUCAGUAGCUGGGCUGAGAGGAUGACCAGCCACACUGGGACUGAGAACACGGCCCAGACUCCUACGGGAGGCAGCAGUGGGGAAUCUUGCGCAAUGGGCGAAAGCCUGACGCAGCCAUGCCGCGUGAAUGAUGAAGGUCUUAGGAUUGUAAAAUUCUUUCACCGGGGACGAUAAUGACGGUACCCGGAGAAGAAGCCCCGGCUAACUUCGUGCCAGCAGCCGCCGUAA